AGAGAGGCCAAGCAGGAACAAUAAUGACCUAUUUUGUACUUUUCUUAGGGCUGUGCUUUGUUUUGGGAGUGUUAGCAAUUGCAUCUAACCCAUCACCAUAUUCUGAACAGCCUUGCUGUCAGUGACACGCAACUGGAGUUUCAAGACACUACAAAAGUAUUAUGAGAUCGAACACUGGUUUAUGGAAGAUAUGAAACAAUGUCUCCUCACAUCUGAGCUACAUCUGGAUCUGUAGAAAUUGAAAGGUCUUUUACCUCAAAAUG